rnacentral:rRNA from 1 species
UGCGUAGGCGGUGCGGAAAGUUGGGUGUGAAAUCCCUCGGCUCAACCGAGGAACUGCGCUCAAAACUACCGUGCUUGAGGGAGACAGAGGUGAGCGGAACUUAGGGUGGAGCGGUGAAAUGCGUUGAUAUCCUAAGGAACACCGGUGGCGAAGGCGGCUCACUGGGUCUCUUCUGACGCUGAGGCACGAAAGCUAGGGUAGCAACG